GACGAACGCUGGCGGCGUGCUUAACACAUGCCAGUCGAACGGAAAGGCCCUGCUUUUGUGGGGUGCUCGAGUGGCGAACGGGUGAGUAACACGUGAGUAACCUGCCCUUGACUUUGGGAUAACUUCAGGAAACUGGGGCUAAUACCGGAUAGGAGCUCCUGCUGCAUGGUGGGGGUUGGAAAGUUUCGGCGGUUGGGGAUGGACUCGCGGCUUAUCAGCUUGUUGGUGGGGUAGUGGCUUACCAAGGCUUUGACGGGUAGCCGGCCUGAGAGGGUGACCGGCCAGAUUGGGACUGAGAUACGGCCCAGACUACUGCGGGAGGCAGCAGUGGGGAAUAGUGCACAAUGGGCGGAAGCCUGAUGCAGCAACGCCGCGUGCGGGAUGACGGCCUUCGGGUUGUAAACCGCUUUCGCCUGUGACGAAGCGUGAGUGACGGUAAUGGGUAAAGAAGCACCGGCUAACUACGUG
rnacentral:rRNA from 1 species